GGGGAUAACCCGGCGAAAGUCGGACUAAUACCGCAUGAAGCAGGGGCCCCGCAUGGGGAUAUUUGCUAAAGAUUCAUCGCUGAUAGAUAGGCAUGCGUUCCAUUAGGCAGUUGGCGGGGUAACGGCCCACCAAACCGACGAUGGAUAGGGGUUCUGAGAGGAAGGUCCCCCACAUUGGUACUGAGACACGGACCAAACUCCUACGGGAGGCAGCAGUGAGGAAUAUUGGUCAAUGGCCGAGAGGCUGAACCAGCCAAGUCGCGUGAGGGAUGAAGGUUCUAUGGAUCGUAAACCUCUUUUAUAAGGGAAUAAAGUGCGGGACGUGUCCCGUUUUGUAUGUACCUUAUGAAUAAGGAUCGGCUAACUCCGUGCCAGCAGCCGCGGUAAUACGGAGGAUCCGAGCGUUAUCCGGAUUUAUUGGGUUUAAAGGGUGCGUAGGCGGCCUUUUAAGUCAGCGGUGAAAGUCUGUGGCUCAACCAUAGAAUUGCCGUUGAAACUGGGGGGCUUGAGUAUGUUUGAGGCAGGCGGAAUGCGUGGUGUAGCGGUGAAAUGCAUAGAUAUCACGCAGAACCCCGAUUGCGAAGGCAGCCUGCCAAGCCAUUACUGACGCUGAUGCACGAAAGCGUGGGGAUCAAACAGGAUUAGAUACCCUGGUAGUCCACGCAGUAAACGAUGAUCACUAGCUGUUUGCGAUACACUGUAAGCGGCACAGCGAAAGCGUUAAGUGAUCCACCUGGGGAGUACGCCGGCAACGGUG
rnacentral:rRNA from 1 species